UGAUACUUUAAAAUAGUCCCGAGAGGCUAAAAAGAAUAGUUACAUAUUUUAUUGAUUUUAGUGUGUAGGCAUCCUUUUAUCUUUUUUGGGUAAAGGGAUUUUUUAU
rfam:Terrisporobacter sp. 08-306576 Contig098, whole genome shotgun sequence.